rnacentral:snoRNA from 1 species
AUUUUGUUUUAAAAAAAAAAGUUAAAGUGUGAUGAUUGUGUUUUCAUGCUGAGUGGGAGACGUGCCUCUCUCAAACCUCAUUACAACGCUGGCACAGUGGCCAUCUGACA